GCCUCCGUUGGCCCCACUGACUCCCCAGGAACGAGGCCAACCACGCGUGACUCCUCCGGAGACCAGCGGUUUCCUAAACCGUUGGUCGCAAGUUCGAUUCUUGCUGGGGGCG
rnacentral:tRNA from 1 species